rnacentral:tRNA from 1 species
GAAAUAUAAUAAAUAAAGCUUCUAACUUUAUAAAUAGUGAUUUAUAAUCAUUAAUAUUUCU